ACCAGGGCUUCGGCCCUGGGGACAGCGGCGAACGGGUGAGUAACACGUGGAUAACCUGCCCUCGGCACCGGAAUAGCCCGGGGAAACCCGGAUUAAUGCCGGAUAGCCCCACAUCCCUGCGGGGAACGUGGGAAAAGGUAGCUUCGGCCUCUGGCCGAGGAUGGGUCCGCGGUGGAUUAGCUUGUUGGCGGGGUAACGGCCCACCAAGGCGACGAUCCAUAGCUGGUCUGAGAGGACGAUCAGCCACACUGGGACUGAGACACGGCCCAGACUCCUACGGGAGGCAGCAGUGGGGAAUCUUGCGCAAUGGGCGAAAGCCUGACGCAGCGACGCCGCGUGCGGGAAGAAGGCCUUCGGG
rnacentral:rRNA from 1 species